CUGCCACCGGCCGGAGCACAUAUACUAAAAUUGAAACAAUACAGAGAAGAUUAGCAUUGCCCCUGUGCAAGGGUGACACGCUAAUUCAUGAAGUUGCUGGCUCUC